rnacentral:lncRNA from 1 species
CUCCUUGUGUAUUCUGAGUUUGCACUUGAGAAAAGGAAAUCCUUUGUUCUUUUUGCCGAGUUGAAGUUAACACUUUGGAAUAGCAAUAAUUUAAGUACCCUUACCUAAUACCUUUAGAUUGAAGAGAGGAUGAACUCUCUUUUUUAUACUUUUGAAUUAAUCAACAAAAAUGUGUACACCCAUACUUAACUCUAAAUUAAGGGAAGUCCACAAACUCUUACUCCUAGAAAGAGAGUUAACACCUCUAGAGGCGAGAUGCCAGCAAGAUACUUGGAAGAUCUCCACCCCUUUUUCCUAACUCAAACAGUCAGAAAUUUGUGAAUUAUUUUGAGUCCACACCCUCAGAAACUAUAAACUUUUUUGACAAGAAAUUGGCCUUCAGAGGCCUUUGAUAAAAGUUGCUACCAUCAGAGAAUUAGAGGUGUAACAAUUUUGGAAACUGUGAUUGGCCUCAUGUGAAAAGGGGUGGGGAUAGGAAACCACCAUAAAAGCCACAAAAUCCUUGAGCUGGCAGUCUGGUGAAGUUGAGUCACAUGGAAAGUGUCUCCGGGAGAUAGUCUUUCUUUUGAGGGAACUUCAUUGGAGACUGCAGCAUGCAUUGUGACUUCAACUUAAUCUAUGACUCCUCGACUACUUGGUUGGGUAAGUGAAAAGCCUGACUCCCUUCCUAGUUUUCUAAGAGUUUGGCUUCCAUCUUGGAGGAGCCUGGGUGAUUAAUCAUUACCAGCCAUUACCAGCCUCCUGGAUGAGGACUAGUACAGAGAAAGUACAUAUCAUAAAGAAUAACAUAGACUACAGGAAUAAUGAGACAGGUGGCUUUAUUUUACCAGAAGAGCAGAAGGUAACAGAAAUUUACCGGAUGGUCACUCUAUUUAUCUGA